UACGGAGGGUGCAAGCGUUAUCCGGAUUUAUUGGGUUUAAAGGGUCCGCAGGCGGGCCUGUAAGUCAGGGGUGAAAGCCGGCAGCUUAACUGUCGAACUGCCUUUGAAACUGCAGGUCUUGAGUGAAAUUGAAGUAGCUGGAAUGAGUAGUGUAGCGGUGAAAUGCAUAGAUAUUACUCAGAACACCAAUAGCGAAGGCAGGUUACUAAAUUUUAACUGACGCUGAGGGACGAAAGCGUGGGGAGCGAACAGG
rnacentral:rRNA from 1 species